rnacentral:rRNA from 1 species
UGUUCCCAUUCCGAACACAGAAGUUAAGCUCAGCUGUGCCGAAAAUACUUGGCGGGAAGCUGCCUGGAAAGAUAGGUCGUCGCCGACA